UAAAGUAAUGCCCAUUUUGCCUAAUUGA
rnacentral:piRNA from 1 species